rnacentral:rRNA from 1 species
CCUACGGGUGGCAGCAGUGAGGAAUAUUGGUCAAUGGCCGGAAGGCUGAACCAGCCAUGCCGCGUGAAGGUCAGUGCCCUAUGGGCGUUAAACUUCUUUUGUGCGGGAGCAAUAAUGGUCACGUGUGGCCAGACGAGAGUACCGUACGAAUAAGCAUCGGCUAACUCCGUGCCAGCAGCCGCGGUAAUACGGGGGAUGCAAGCGUUAUCCGGAUUUAUUGGGUUUAAAGGGUGCGCAGGCGGAUUUUUAAGUCAGCGGUCAAAUCGUGGGGCUCAACCCCAUCCAGCCGUUGAAACUGGGGAUCUAGAGUGUGCGAGAGGUAUGCGGAAUGCGUGGUGUAGCGGUGAAAUGCAUAGAUAUCACGCAGAACCCCGAUUGCGAAGGCAGCAUACCGGUGCACAACUGACGCUCAGGCACGAAAGCGUGGGUAUCGAACAGGAUUAGAUACCCCAGUAGUC